rnacentral:lncRNA from 1 species
UUCUGUUUUAGUAGUAUUAGUAGCUCCCUUGUUUUUUCCCGCCUGCUCUCGUAUGUUCCGGUCUGUUACUGUUUGAUGCUAUUUUCUGUUACUGGUUCGUUGUUGUUGUUGUUGUUGUUACUAUAGUUGUCUUUCUCCCCUUUUCCUUAUCGUCCUUCGUCCCCCUAUUCUUUCUUUCUUCUUCGUCUCUCUCUUUUCACCUUUUCUUGAGCCAAGGGUCUAAUGGAAACAAGUGUUCUACCUCGCCAGGUAAGAGUAAGGUCUGCGUACACACUACCCUCCCCAAACCCCACUUGUGGGAUUAUACUGGGUAUGUUUGUUGUUGUUGUUGUUGAUCUUAGUUUGGUUUUGCCCCAUGAGUUUGAACCAGGGCUAACAUUUCAGAGCUUCUUCUGUGCUAACAUAUCACAACUUUUUUUUCUACUUUAGAAUGACAAUUGCAUCUGAUGGGAUUGUGAACCCUGUUAUGCUGCUUUAUCUCAGUUCCAUUGUGCCACUAAGGCACUAGCGCUCGAAAAAACUAUGACGUUUAUUCAGUUGGUCUUUCCUUUCUUCUCCAUCCCUCUGGUAGUGGUACUUGAGACUUUGUGGUGGAUACCUGGGAGUUCGGAGUAUAACUUCUAGCAUUACUUCUUACUGGCAUAUGGAGCAAAGCCCGGGGAAUCCUUUGAUGACACUCUAAAAUUCCACAUACUUCGCAUUUUAAAUGAGUAUGAUGAAGAAAAAGUUAUAUAGGCUUGUUUCCUCUUUGUAGAGAGAAUCCUCCUCUAGAUUCAUUCUUUCCCACUGUCUAUGUUAAGAUGAUUGCUGUUUUUACUUGUUAAUUAAAUUUGAGAAACAAAAUAGAUGAAGAGUUGUGUUAUCCACUGUAUUUGGGUCUAGACAAAGGGUACAAAUCAUAAAAUUAAAUACUUGACUCUGGAUGACAUCUAAUAGGUCUCAAGUUCUAUGAAUGCACGUUCAUCCCCUUCAAAUGCCCUUUAUCAUACACUUCAGCACUUGAACCUGCAGCAAGCAUACAUUGUUGGGUUCUUCCUCAAGCAGUUGCAAGCCAACUGAAACAUUAAAAAUUGCUUACACUCAGAUUGUUUAUCUGGUUGCUUUGUUCUUCUAUGAAAAGUACCAAUCUUUGAGAAGCUUUAUUUCGCUUUAGCUGAGCUUGUUUCAUUCAUGCCUUCUCUACCAAAGUGAGGCGAACAGAUUGACUUUUUAACUUAAUUACAAACUGGAGAUUCCACUUUGCCUUUGGUUGGGAGAUUAUAAUUGUCUCCCAAAAGCGAACUGCGGCUUUGUCUUAUCCACAGUUUUUUAUCCUUUGUUAUGUAUGGUGUUAAAUAUUUUGGGCUGUGUAUUCUCUCGAUCCAAGCAAUGUAUUUUGCCAAGCUCGUAACUAGAAAUAUUAACAUUUUCAUCAUUGUCAUCUUCCACACAUAUAUAUAUUACAAUAUAUUGAUUGAUGGAGCUGAUGUAGCAGACCUGAAGGUCCUUAGCAAUGACUUUUCCUUGAACUAAAUUUUAGUCAAGCUCAAUAUGUUUUUUUGGAGCAUGAGAAAUAGGAUUUGCUGCCUGGUAGCAGUGAGGUUAUCACACCACAGUGUUGGAGCUUGAGGAAGCACUCCUCCAAGCUUUCGAAAAAGAUUUUGCAACCAUGGUAGCUCAGCUGUUGCAGGCUGGCAGCUGCCAAGCCCCUAUAUUCUAACUCGGUGCUUGAAUGAGUAACCACACUUUGAUCUUUGGAGCUUCUAGAAGAUUUAGACCCAAGAGAAGCACAGCAGCCAUAUGUGGACCUUCCAUCAUCUAUUCAUUUUAUUUCCUGCCUAGUCGGCGUCAAACUAGUGAAGGUUAAACUAGGAGAUGGUUUCCAGAGCAAAUAUAUUAGGAAGUUCCUAUCCACAUGAUAGUACAUCUUUUCAAUGUCUAAUUUAUACACCAAAGGCAUGUCCUAUAUAAACCAACCUUUCUGCUAGAACUUAAACUGUCAUUUAUUAAUCUUCUCCUAUAAACCGAGUUUCUGAAUGUGUUGUUUUUUCCCCCUUCUCCCCUUUUCCUUAUCGUCCUUCGUCCCCCUAUUCUUUCUUUCUUCUUCGUCUCUCUCUUUUCACCUUUUCUUGAGCCAAGGGUCUAAUGGAAACAAGUGUUCUACCUCGCCAGGUAAGAGUAAGGUCUGCGUACACACUACCCUCCCCAAACCCCACUUGUGGGAUUAUACUGGGUAUGUUUGUUGUUGUUGUUGUUGAUCUUAGUUUGGUUUUGCCCCAUGAGUUUGAACCAGGGCUAACAUUUCAGAGCUUCUUCUGUGCUAACAUAUCACAACUUUUUUUUCUACUUUAGAAUGACAAUUGCAUCUGAUGGGAUUGUGAACCCUGUUAUGCUGCUUUAUCUCAGUUCCAUUGUGCCACUAAGGCACUAGCGCUCGAAAAAACUAUGACGUUUAUUCAGUUGGUCUUUCCUUUCUUCUCCAUCCCUCUGGUAGUGGUACUUGAGACUUUGUGGUGGAUACCUGGGAGUUCGGAGUAUAACUUCUAGCAUUACUUCUUACUGGCAUAUGGAGCAAAGCCCGGGGAAUCCUUUGAUGGUGGCAUUGUAAUUGCUGAAUCAUGGGAGAAGAAAGACGUGAAGGGAAAAUAGUCUAUGUUGCUCGGACUCUCCGAAAAUGUGGCUGCAUACGUGUCGGAUCCUCCAAAAGUAGUGCAUUUUUGAGGAUCCGACACGGGUGCGGCUACAUUUUGGAGAGUCCGCGUAACAUAGCAAAUAGUAGGUGGAGAUUUAUGCCAAAGCUAAGGGUAGGGUUGCAGAAAAUGGAGUAGGAGUUGAGAGAAAGUAUUGGGGUGAAAAAAAUCACAUAUUAACCUGAAACUAUCCUACAUCCAGAAUUAUCCAAAUUGUGGGGACACAUGACCUUUUUCAAGACUGGAAUAAUAUAGACCUUAAAAUGGAAAAUAAAGGUGCUAGCUUACAUAUGAGCUAACCAGUUGCCACUCAAAAGUUGAUUGCAAUCGCUCAUGAGCUAACCAGUCGUGAAUUGAUUGCUACACUCACUUCUAACAGCUUGCUGUCCAUGUUCUUAUAUAUCACUUCCUAGCUUCCUGGAAAAACUGCUAAAUUAUUACUGCAAGCUCAAUUCCAGCGUUAGGAUCAAAAUUGGAAUUUUGAGAAAGUGCCUGUGAAUUAAAAACGUCUGCAGCAACCAUUCGAUAAAUUAUGCUGAACAACUGGAGAUAAUUAUUCAUGGAAAAAUAAGUCCUUAUGUAUGUCGAUAUCUGCACUUAGCUUUGCAUCAGGUCUGGUCAUACAGUGUGAGUUGGUGAUAAUUUGGUUUGGUUCUCUGUCCAUCUUCGCAUAAUCUGUUUGUGAGCUGUUCUGGAUAAUACGUUAACAGAUGUCCAUAGUUGGUAGUGAAGCCUUCUGGUCAUCCACUAAGAAAUUUCAGACGUGAACAUAGGUAUAUCGGUUAGCAGUAUGGGAAUGUAAGUUCCACCUGAGAUCAUACUGUGGACUGACAAGUAUGUUUGGGAAUUUGGCCUAAAUAUGUGAGAAUAUGUUGACUCCAGUAUAUCCAUAGUGCAGCUUACUAUCAAACAGUAGAAAGCCAGUAUGCUUCUCAUACGCGUGAGAAUGUUCUGGAUUUCAGAGCUGACAUGAUCUGCUGAUUAUGCAGAGACCAUUGUCUUCCAAAAUUAUUGAGCCGAGGGUCUUCCGGAAACAGCCUCUCUACCUUCACAAGGUAGGAGUUAGAUCUGCGUACGUACUACCCUCCCCAGACCUCACUUGUGGGAAUACACUGGGUAUAUUGUUGUUGUUGUUGCAUUGUCUUCCAAAACAAAACUUUUAGCACAACCCCGUUGUCACAAUGCUUUUGAUUAUGAAUUUUUUCAUUUUUCUGUUGCUUGAUGUGAUGCUAUUUUUUUUCUUUUGCUGGGCGUGCUUGAUGUCACACUAACACCAUUGUUAUUGAAAAUUUUGGAGAAAAAUAUAUAGAUUCUUAACCUUAGGUGUAAUGUAUAAUCACAGUGUAGAGAUCACGGAGGAUACGUGUCAUUGCUGCUGGAAAAGCACUUGUUCUACACUUAACACUGUGGACUAGUCGAAGGGCAUGUAACCCUUUGAAUUAUUUUCACCAAAUUCAUCUUAAUAAUUAUUUAACCCUUUGUUUUCACAGGC